AUCGCUUCUCGGCCUCUUACGGCUCAGAUCAAGUGUAGUACCUGUUCUUAUCAGUGUAACGGCUGAUACUAUCUCCACGUGAGAAUGCUGUUCAAUGGAUUUUUGGAGUGUGGAGUCGGAUUAGGGGCUUGCUCCAUCCACUUCCUGCAUUGACCUGGUAUUGCAGUGUUUCCAGGAACAGUGCACCUCCC
rnacentral:snRNA from 1 species